AUGGGUCUUUUGGAAACCAAAAAGUGCUCCCUAUGGCAUCUCUCUGAAGAUCCACUUCGGCACGUUUAUGAUACAUGCAGCCCCGAUGGCUGCUAUACCUUUCAGUACGGCUCGUUAGCUCUGUGCUCUAACCAGCCUGCUUACUUUGCAAAAGGCACAAAGCUGACCGUUCUUGAGAAGAAUGUCACUGAACCGACUCUGGAAAUCCUCACCCCAUCACAAGAUGAACUUUGCCAAAGGAAUCGGGUGACACUGAUUUGUCUAGCGAGUGAUUUUUAUCCUGACCACAUAAGUAUUACCUGGGAUUUGCCACAACUCAACGAGCCGACAAGAAUUAAAACUGACACCCCAGUACUGAAUGGCCACACAAAGUUAUAUAGUGUCAGCAGCCGAUUAAGAGUGCCCAAAAGUGUCUGGUGCAACCCUGAUAACAAGUUUACCUGCAUCGUGACGUUUGGCAUGGAAAAUGGAACGGAGACUUACAGGAGAUCUAUACAUGGAUCACAAGAUUGCAUCAAGAGGACAGAAUUAGUUAAGAAAAACAGCAAAACUGUGACAUUUGCAUAUCUAAUAUUUAUUGGAAAAAGUGUGCUGUAUGGAUUCCUACUUACAAUUUUUUUGUGGAAAACAAAGGUAAGCAAUAUUCCUGUGAGUGUGGAGACUUACUAAACUUAAUAAAGUUCUAACUGAUAUGUGUAAUCAUUCUUAAAUCUAUGGCUUGUUCAUGCCAAAUGCAUACUAAAGCAUUGUUUAAAUAAAGUAAAUAAAUAUUCAGUCAUCCAGCACUAUUUUUCUUUCGUAUUUUGAAUUUUUGAGAGUUAUUACAUAGUCAGACAUGACUAACAGUUUCAGAAAUGCACCAAAUUGCGACAGAAACUGCGUCUAAACAAUUCUGCGUUUCCUAAUGAGCCUGUGGGUGGCACGGUGGUGCAGAGGUAGUGCUGCUGCCUUGCAAUAGGGAGACCAGGAUUUGUGUUCCUUGUCCUCCCUGCAUAGUUUGCAUGUUCUCCUCAUGUCUACAUGGGUUUCCUCCAGGUGCUCUGGUUUCCUCCCACAGUCCAAAGAAAUGCAGUUUAGGUGGUUUGUCAAUCCUAAAUUGUCCUGGUAUGUGUGUUUGUGUGUGUUUGCCCAGCGACGGACUGGUGCCCUGUCCAGGACUUCUUCCUGCCUUGCACCCUAUGCUAGAUGGGCUAGGCUCCAGCAGCCCCUUUGAUCCUGUUCAGGUCUAAGCAGAUUGAAAAAUGAUGAAAUGAAAUGAGUCUCAUUGACCUUCUUUGUGUUCUUUUGCAGCUGCACUCAAAAGAUUUCCAAUUAUGAAUGAACCUGAAAUAAUCGUGUUCUUACUCUCAAUAUAAAAUUUCAGUUUGCAUUUACCAAAAGUAUUAUUUUCAUUUCCUUGUUUCAUAACAAAAUUGAAAGUUGUUUGUAUUUUUAGUAAAGUAUGCAAAUUUAUUAACUAUUCUGUUGUAAUUGGUCAAGA